rnacentral:lncRNA from 1 species
UUUAAUGCUUCCUUGUAAGCCAUCAGCAAUUUCCCUAGUCAACUGAGUCCUCUGUCAUACAUUGAGAAUGCAUGCUGUUAAACCUAGCUGGCUUGUGCUUUACAGAGCUGACUUUACAUUGCAUUUCUUUCUUUUUGAUAGUCUAGUUCCACAGUGAGGGCCUAUCAAACUAGUAAGUCACGAGUGACCAUGAGUCCUGGCUUCAGCUCCCAGUGGAACAGCAGCCAACCUGUGUGGAAUGCAUACUCCUUUCCAAGAGCAAGCUUGCACUACCAGUCCCAUGCCAGCUAUACCUACUGCACUGGACAGCCUGCCCCUCGAAGCCCUGCUCCACCCCUGAGAAUUGAAGGAAUCAGUGAGCCAGCUCCUGGACCACUGGCUCCAUAUAGCAAGUGCCUGCCUGCUGGCUUCUUCUGCCCUGGCUCUAUCCAUCUGGACCUCCAUCUCUCUGCAGUAUCCCCUUAGCUUUUCAGGAGUCACUAUAUGUAGAGUCCUAUGGUGAUGGACAACAGAGCCUAUCCCUGAUUAACACCAAUAAAAGGAAUUUAUUGAAUAUAUGGAUUGGAAAAUCAAACCUGAAAGAAAGGGUAAAUAUGAG